rnacentral:rRNA from 1 species
GAUGAACGCUGGCGGCGUGCCUAACACAUGCAAGUCGAGCGAACAGACGAUGAGCUUGUGCUUUUGACGUUAGCGGCGGACGGGCGAGUAAAACGUGGAUCACCUACUUAUAUUUCUGGGAUAAUUACGGAAAACCGGAGCUAAUACCAGAGAAUAUGAUGAACCGGAGGGGUCAAUGGAGAAUCACGGCUUUGCUGUCACUAAUAGCUGGUUCCGGGCCGCAUUAGAUAGUGGGUAAGGUAACGGCUUACCAAGGCAACGAUGCGUUGCCGACGUGAGAGAGUGAUCGGCCACACUGGAACUGAGACACGGUCCAGACUCCUACGGGAGGCAGCAGUAGGGAAUAUUAGGCAAUGGGCGCAAGCCUGACGCAGCAACACCGCGUGAGUGAUGAAGGCCUUCGGUUCGUAAAGCUCUGUUAUUGGGGAAGAACAGAUGUGUAAGUAGACCCAGCCGUCUUGACGGUACCUAAUCAAGAAGCACCGGCUAACUACGUG